rnacentral:snoRNA from 1 species
GUGUGGUAAUGGAUUUGUGGGGCGUGUUCUCUGUGGGUCUCAUAAUGUGCCUGUACCAGAGUAAACUGCAGCCUUAAACAUUGUCCAGGCUCCUCCUUACCUGUAGGUGAUGAGCACUGAAGGGGAUUGCACAGUG